UACGUAGGGGGCAAGCGUUGUCCGGAUUUAUUGGGCGUAAAGAGCGUGUAGGCGGCUUUACAGGUCCGUUGUGAAAACUCGAGGCUCAACCUCGAGACGCCGGUGGAAACCGUAAAGCUAGAGUCCGGAAGAGGAGAGUGGAAUUCCUGGUGUAGCGGUGAAAUGCGCAGAUAUCAGGAGGAACACCCGUGGCGAAGGCGGGUCUCUGGGCCGAUACUGACGCUGAGGAGCGAAAGCGUGGGGAGCGAACAGG
rnacentral:rRNA from 1 species